rnacentral:lncRNA from 13 species
GAUUCCCUCGGGAACGGCCCCCCCGAGGCUCCCGGGGCUCCGAGUGGGGUUUUGGUGAUUCCCCACCCCAAUUCCUCGGGGCUGCGGCCGAACCCCGAAAUAUUGCUAAAAAAAGCGGGAUUUGGGAUUUUCCAGCCAGCUGCUCCCCCCGCGCCGGGAUUCCCCCCCCCCCCAUCCAAAAACCCUGGAAAACAACCCCCGAUCCCAAAAAAAUGACCAAAACCCCCUUUUUUUUUACUGCAAACUCCCCGGGGGAGAGCGGGAAGGACCUAAAAUCCAUUGGAUUAUCCAGAAGAAUCCCCAAGGAGCGGCCCGGGGGAGGCGGGGGGGAUCUAAAAUCCAUGGAAUUCUGCAGAAGAAUCCGCAAGGAGCGGCCCGGGGUAGAGUGGGAAGGACCCAAAAUCCAUGGAAUUCUGCAGAAGAAUCCCAAGGAGCGGCCCGGGGGGGACGCCGGGGCUGCGCGAGGCAGAGCCGGGCUCUGCUCCUGAAGGCACCUCGAGUUUCCAGCACAGUGACCUGGCACGGAGGGAAUGCGGGAAUGCGGGAAUUCGGGAAUUCCGGCUGAUCCCAGGCCAAACCACCCGCGGGGAGGGGGGCGGGGGGAGGGAACUCUGAAUUCCCGGGAAAAACCAAAAAAACAAACCAACAAAAAGCUCCUUUGGGACUCCCCUCGUGAUCCCUGAGAUGUCCCCGGGGUGGGCGAGGGCUGCCACAGCGGGGAGGGGAGCCCGGGAAUGCUGCUGGGAUGGAAUCCGGGUCCUGGAUCCCCAGGAGGGGGGAAAUCCCGAAAACGAUAGCACCCGAAGUGGGGAAAACCAGCAAAAAACCGGGAAUAUUGGGGCGGGGAAAGAGGCGUUCGCAGCUGCUCUUUAGGGAUCCCGAAUCCCUACAGGGAUCCCAAGGCGGGAUCAGAUCCCCAGGGCGAUCCCGAGCCGGCAGCCGGGAAGGGUCGGGGCCGGGAAAAAGGGAAACGGGAAGGAAAUGCUGCGGGAAGAGAGAAACCAAACCAGAAGGACGCAAGGGCGGAGCCCGUGGAAGCCGAGGCGGGGCGAGCCCGGAGGGCCCGCGGCCGGCGGCAGCUCCCGGCGCCGGGAAGGGGCCGGGAAGGAGCCCCCGAGGGCUCGGGAGCGGGAGCGGGAGCGGGAGCGGGAUCGGGACGGGCGGGGCUGUGCUCCGGGAGAACAGCUCAGAGCGUGCGCGGGUUGUACUCGGGCAGCUUCCGCAGCUUCUCCUGCUCCGCCUCCGACUCGUCCCGGGCGAUCACCAGCGAGUGCGCGUAGCCCAUGGCCACCUGCAACGGGACACGGUCAGCGGGCAGUGGGCACUGCCCAUGGCCACCUGCAACGGGACACGGUCAGCCGGCAGUGGGCACUGCCCAUGGGACAGGGUCAGCGGGCAGUGGGCACUGCCCACAGGACAGGGUCAGCCGGCAGUGGGCACUGCCCAUGGCCACCUGCAACGGGACACGGUCAGCCGGCAGUGGGCACUGCCCAUGGGACACGGUCAGCGGGCAGUGGGCACUGCCCAUGGCCACCUGCAACGGUGUGGGCAUGUGGGCAGUGGGCAGUGGGCAGUGCCCACAGGACAGGGUCAGCGGGCAGUGGGCACUGCCCGCAGGACAGGGUCAGCGGGCAGUGGGCACUGCCCGCAGGACAGGGUCAGCGGGCAGUGGGCACUGCCCACAGGACAGGGUCAGUGGUCAGCGGGCAGUGGGCAGUGCCCACGGGACAGGGACAGGGUCAGCGGGCAGUGGGCAGUGCCCACAGGACACGGUCAGCGGGCAGUGGGCAGUGCCCACAGGACACGGACAGGGUCAGCCGGCAGUGGGCAGUGCCCGCAGGACACGGACAGGGUCAGUGGUCAGUGGGCAGUGCCCCUGCCCGUCACCCCGCAGGUGUCCUGAGCUGGGCACGGCCUCAGCGGCCCCGAAUCCUUCAGGGGAUGGCCCCGAAUGUGCCCCUCCCCCAGCCCUGGCCCCGCUCUGGUUGCCCCUCGCCCUCUCCAGUUGCCCCUCGCCCUCUCUGGUUGCCCCUCGCCCUCUCCGGUUGCCCUCUCCGGUUGCCCUCUCCGGUUGCCCCUCGCCCUCUCCGGUUGCCCUCUCCGGUUGCCCCUCGCCCUCUCCGGUUGCCCCUCGCCCUCUCUGGUUGCCCUCUCCAGUUGCCCCUCGCCCUCUCCGGUUGCCCUCUGUGGUUGCCCCUCGCCCUC